CGCUGUUGUUGUUGCUGUAGCAGUCGUCAUCAUUGUGUCUGUAGUUGCAAUUGUUGUUGUUGCUGCUGUUGAUGUUGUGGAUGAGGAAAGAUCCUGAGUUGUCCUGGUUGAAUUCUCUGAAGCUUUUGAAUGGUUCAAUAUUGUAUCACCAUUAUGCUUUCUUCUUUUAUAUUGGAGUAGAGACAAGGAUGCCUCCGUAUUAAGCACGCAAGGAGGACAAUCAUCGACCCUUUCGGUCUUGCACAACGGUAAAUCAUCUCUUUGAAACUCAUUAACAUUUUCAGAGUCCUUCGGAAGUUCGUUCAUAUUAAGAGGAUCUCGGUUGAUGGAAUGAGUAUCCGGCUCAACACAAUUUAUUUCAGCACAAGCAUCAUGAGCAGGCACUUCAUCCACUGCAUCCUCUCCUGGAACAAGAACUGUCUCACCAUCAUCCCACUCCUCCUCUAUAAAAGGGGCAUAACGAUUUCCAUUUGGUGGUCCUAUNAUUAUUCUUGUGAAAUACUCUACACAGCACAUAUGAAUCGUUCUGCGUUGGUCCAAUUUUUUCCAAUUCUUCUUCAACAAGCCGGUAUUCAUGCAUAACCCAAUUCGUGCGCUGCCCCCCUGGGGCACGGCCACUAUGAAAUACAAGCGUUUUCUUCAUUGCUAUGACUUGGGAGUUCCGGCGGACGUCCCUGUCCUUGCCAGUGGCUUUCCAGUACCCUUUACCUGUGGCCCUAUUCAUUCUUGCUCCAUUCCCAUACUUCCUGUCCAAGGCACUAAAAAAGUACCAUUCUUGAUCUCUGCUUUUCAACCUUGACUUAUCUGCAAGGUCCCAAGGCUCGUUCUUGUAGAUAUCGACCUCAGCAAUAGCAUUAAAACGGACAGGUUUAUUAGAAACCUUCCGUUUCAAGUAGUAACUGACAAGCUCCUCAUCCGU
rnacentral:misc_RNA from 1 species